UACGAGGGGGGCGAGCGUUGUUCGGAAUUAUUGGGCGUAAAGGGUGCGUAGGCGGUUUGGUAAGUCUUAUGUGAAAUCUACAGGCUCAACUUGUAGUCUGCAUGAGAAACUGCCGGGCUUGAGUAUGGGAGAGGUGAGUGGAAUUCCUGGUGUAGCGGUGAAAUGCGUAGAUAUCAGGAGGAACACCAAUGGCGAAGGCAGAUCUCUGGGCCGUAACUGACGCUGAGGAGCGAAAGCAUGGGGAGCGAACAGG
rnacentral:rRNA from 1 species